CCUGCCUCGCUAAACGUUACUUUUCUGUCAAAGUAUAUGAUCAACGAUCUAAUGCGAUUAUAAAAACUAUCUCUAUAGAAUCGAUGUUAAAUAGUUGUAAUCGUGUUCGUCGGUUAAAGAGCUCCGUAAAAAUACCUUUUUGUGUAAUUGAAUUGUGUAAAAAACGGGCAAAAACUUCUAGAUCAGUAGAAGAUAUAUACCAAAUCUAAGCUCGUUUUCUUCAGAAAAUGACAGACAAUUUUGUUCGUGACUAUGAGUGCGAUACAGGUCCUUCUAUAAUUGGUCUGAGGUCGAAGUAGCCAACCUAUAGAUAUCAUAGAUCAAAGAGCCAACCCAACUUGAAUUUCUCGAUGGUUUGGGAUUUCCUUCCGACCACAGAGUACACUCGAAUGAUGACAAAUCGUCUCGUCAAUAAAUAUGUUCCUUGUGCCAUAGCAUUAUAUUCAUAGGUAUAAUUUUAAUAGGUACCUACAUUGAUUCAGGUUCAGUCCAGUGUUGCCAGAAGAUUACUUUUGUAACCUUUUAGGUGAUUUUUUGACUGCAUUGGUAACUUUUUGGUUACAUUAAUAAAAAGGUUACUUUUACGUGAUAUUUCGGAAUUUUUUAAAUUAACUUACAAUUUCAUAUACCUAAAACAGAACGGCCGUUAAAUCAAGAAAUGCGGACAAAUGCUGCGAACUCAUCGAUGUUUCUGUGUCAAUACAACUAACAUUCUAUUAACUUUUAAUACCUUUCCAGUAAAAAAUAUGAAUAAUAGUUUGUUAAACAAGGGGCUGAACAAACCCAUUGUAUACGAGGUGUUUCCUUUUUGUUCCAUCUUCAAACUUAGGUCACAAUUAUUCUCACUAUAAAUGAAGACGUUACAAUUGACGUUGCGAAUUAAGUACCUACAUUGACAUUUCUUAACUUACUUAUAUUAAAUUAUGUAUGGUUUGCUUAUAAAAUGUUAUUUAAAAUAUAUUAACCAUAUCUAACUGUUCUAAACUUAUUUCUUAUCCCAUGAGGAAAAGGCAAUCAAUCAGGGCCUUACUUAAGAUGAUUCUAUUUACGAGUAAAAUCUCCUUCGGUUUAAAGUAAUUUAGUACUUGACUAGUAUUCGUAACAGACAGAUAUUAAAAACAAAACAAAAUUACUUUAGUCCCUAGAGGCUGAAAUGGUAGUUUAGUCAUGCUGUGGAACGCAAAAAGCAAGAGUAGUUAGUGAAAAGGUUACUUUUUACACAAAAAGGUUACUUUUUUUAAUAUUCCGGGUAACUUUUUACAAGACCCAACUGGCAACACCGGUUCAGUCACUAAAAGUUUUGAAAUUCAAACUUCCUGCUUUUCUAACAUCGAAACCCGAACGAUUUUUUGUAGCUUAUAUUAAUUAUUAACUUUAUCUUAACGAUUGCCCAAUAUUUUGUAUAGUUAUCAACAAUUUAUCUACUUAAGCACCUACCGGUUAACCUUGAUAUUUUAAUAUGAGCAAGACGUACAUAGAAGAAUUAUUAGAAAGUGAUGAUGAACUACCGUGUAUUCCUACGGGAACAGGCACGUCAGCUAGUGCAACAAUAAAAAGUAUAGCUAGUUACUGUGGAGUACAAUGAGGUUCCAGCUAUCCCUGCAUAUCUGAUAGAAAAUCGUUUUGACAAGUUAAAAUUCAAGUGGCUUGACAAGUGGAUACAGCCUUGUGAAAGAGAAUCCGAACAUGUACUCAUAGAUGAAAUCAACAUU